UAUUUGGUCUCCAACGCAAUCUCAUUGCUAAGUUUCUGACCCAUUUCAUUUUUCAGUCACCACAUUUAUGGGUUGUACACAGUGAAACAAAAUCAGCGCAAAGAAUAGAGGAAAGUUUGCAGAAAUUGGAGGUGCAGGUAAUACAAAGAGGAAAACAAGUAAAUAGUCUCUGGCACCUUCAGACUCAGCUAUCUGGAUCCUAAGAUUUCUGUAGCACGGUAUAAAACAUGGGGUUCCAGCGGGGAAAAUUUGCAGGAAAAGCCAGCGAGGUGAGUACAUUUGGGUAUUAAACAUGGCUGAGAGAGAUUUCAAAUUCUAAUCAUGACUUUUCCUGAAGUAUUUGUUCUGCCCUAUCAGCUAAUACAGCAAUGGUGCAUGCAUUAACAUCCUGAAAUUGAAACAGAGAUCAAGGGUAUAGGGUAUAAAUUGGUUUUAGAGCAUAACGUUAAAUAAUCAAACCA